CCUACGGGUGGCAGCAGUGAGGAAUAUUUGUCAAUGGACGAGAGUCUGAACCAGCCAAGUAGCGUGAAGGAUGACUGCCCUAUGGGUUGUAAACUUCUUUUAUAUGGGAAUAAAAUGUUCCACGUGUGUGAUUUUGUAUGUACCAUAUGAAUAAGGAUCGGCUAACUCCGUGCCAGCAGCCGCGGUAAUACGGAGGAUGCGAGCGUUAUCCGGUUUUAUUGGGUUAAAAGGGUGCGUAGUCGGACUGUUAAGUCAGCGGUAAAAGCCCGGGGCUCAACCCCGGCGAGCCGUUGAAACUGGCGGUCUGGAGAGGUCGAGAGGUAUGCGGAAUGCGUAGUGUAGCGGUGAAAUGCUUAGAUAUUGCGCAGAACUCCGAUUGCGAAGGCAGCAUACCGGAGGGGAUCUGACGCUGAGGCACGAAAGCGUGGGUAUCGAACAGGAUUAGAUACCCCAGUAGUC
rnacentral:rRNA from 1 species